rnacentral:lncRNA from 1 species
UUUUACUUAAUUUACAUUUAUAGGCUUUACAUUCACUUCUUUUAGAUGCAUUUUUGGUUAAACUGACUCUUUGAAGGGAAAUAAUUUUUUUUUUCCCAAGUCUAUUUAUUUUCAUGAGAAGUCUUUUCUUUUUCUUCCCCCAAUGAAGAAGCUGUUCAUUAUACAUAUCUGUCUGUACUAACACAUUUAUGUUUUAUUGUGGUAUUACAUGCUCUUCAAUAGUCCCCAAGGAAACAUCCAAAGAAGGCUUUAAAUAUUCAAAUGAUACUUCCAUAGCAUCAAAGCAUUCUUCAGCUCGGAUACAUUUUGCACCAAGGCUUUGGGAAAUCUAUGGUAAGAAUAACCUCCCCGGAGUUCACAUGAGGGGAGUAGCAGAUUGACACAGCUCAAGGCACAGAUUUCAAGAACCAACGGCAACUGUCCUUACGAUUCGUCCUGGAGUCGAUAAUACGCUAUCUCUUCCUCAAUUGUGAAUUACAAGGACUUAUCAUUGACCUGGUAUCUUGAUAUUAUGAUGACUCAUCCUAGACUCGAUACUACUAAAGGACUCAAGGUAGUCAGUCCUUUAGAUACUAUGAUAGCUCCUCUUGAAUUGUGUGCUACGAGAACUCAUUAGCCUGGCACCAUGCUGACUCUUCUUGGACUUGAGGGAGAUUAUAAUAACUAUUCCUGUACUAUACACUACGAUAACUCGCCCUAAAGUUUAUGCUAAGAUAACUUAUCGUUGACCUAGUGUCAUGAGGACUCUUUUUGGACCUGAUUUUUUUCACUCUGUCUCUGAUAUAUGUGUACUCUGAGGGUUGAAGAUAGGAAUUUUAAACUUAGAAAAACCAUUCGAAAAAUAUAAACGCAUAUAGUUUUAUAUGUUUAAGAUAUGUGGGUACAUGCCCACCGUCUCAAGUACUAACUACAAACAUAUAAACUAUUAAUCGCCCUUACUUUGGAUGGCGUGUAUCGUGAUCCCCCUCCCUUUGCAAUGAAUAUUUUAAGAAUUAAUGGAGGUGCUAAAUUUUAGAUCCAUAAAAGAAGGCAAGAAGAUUCAAAAUUUCAUGCCUAAACGAAACUUUUCUAAAUAUAUAAAAAAGAUUCAAAAAGUUGUUUUUUUAAAUUAGAAGAUCUGAAAUUUCCGAAAAAGAAAAAGAUAGAAAUUAUUUUUAAAGAAAAGUUGUCAAGAAAUUUAAUAAAUCUGUUGUGUAAGGGCGGUCAAAUAUGUGCUGAUGUGACGCCUUAUUUUUUUUUCCUCUAAAUUUAUUUUCAAUCUGCUUACACAUGUUCCCAGACCCAGCUUUACCGUGAGAGGGACCUAUAGCACAGAUGCGUGUGCAAUAACUUUUUUAAAGAAAAUAAAUCAAAAUUCAGUGGAUUCUUUUAUAGAGCCUAAAUUGCGAUACCUUAUUUAUGAUUUUUUUUAAAUGACCUUAUCUAGAAAAGAUUUGUUAUACUAAUUUAUGAAAAAUCUACUUUUUACGAGGGCCCUAUUUUUAUAAUCAAGCCGGGGAAAAUAUCAUCCUAAAAUCGGCGCUGCAUGCUUCCCUUGUGUUGAAGUUGGAUCACUCUGCUACUGGGGGACACGAUAUAAUUUGUACAACUUUCACAAAAUGAUACGAUAUCGAGGUCACCAUAAUGAUAAUAUAUACGAUAAUAAAGGAAAAAAUGAGUUUAGUUUUUUGUUAUUAUUAUUUGAAAAAAUUAAUUUUGUAUGAUUUUUUUAUGGAAGUUGCAACUUGCACAAGUAGUUUGUUUGUUGCAUAAUGUCUUACACAAUCAUAAAAUAUAUAAUAUAUUCGUUAUUGACUCUAAUUGCACAGUGAUAAUAUUUUAUUUCAAAUUAUAUGUACCCAAAUAUUACGUAUUUAUUUUACAAU